AGUGCAGGCAAUAAUAAGCUAAUACUGAAGGAGAGAGGUUCAUUCUCCCUCAGGCACAUCCUGCAGGAGAAGGUGGUACAAGGGGCUCUUACUGUUUCUCAUAGUAAUAAUCUCCUAACAGGCAAGUUAUAAUAUAUAAUAACAGUUAAACCUCGGUUCAUUAAAAGGCAUUCAUUCUCUGAAAAUUGUUCUCCAGCCUCCACAGAUGUCACCUCAGUGCGUGUCCUUUUGCUGUUCAUUCUCUUCUGAAUCCCUCCCUGUCCCAGCAUCCAGUGUCAGAAGCUCUUGGUGUGAUGGUGCUAAUACAUUCUUUUGGGCAGGACUUACUGGGUGCUUAUCCCCAGCUUCAGGGCGGGGGAGCAUUAACCCUUUACUGCUUGUUCAGCAUGUCACUCUUUAAUUUUCUUUUUACAGUAAUCUGAACUUUUUUUUUAAAAUUGAUCUGAGGGGACAGUCACUGGGUGUGUAGCACAGGGCACUUACCCAUUUUCUCGUUUUCUCUUAGUAGCUACUGGAGGGUAGAGCUUGCUCAGCUCCUAGUUCCCUGCCAGGUUUGUUGCUGGGGUUGUGUGAAAGGUCACAAAGUCACGAGGAGGUUGCUGUAGCUCUGCAAAGGAGAAGCUGAACAUGCAGUGAGUUAAUAGCCUAUUGCUGAAAUUGGAAAGAGCACUGGAGAGCAUUCCAGUCAGCAGAAAAUUUGUUACUACUUGUGUACUCAGAUAAUCUUUAUUGUGGUCAGAGUGAGAUAAAUGAUAGCUGCCAGUGAAUUUACCAUGGGGAAAGCAUUUCCAGAAAUGUCUCAUCAGUCAAACACUCACUUUUAGCCCCUAAAACACUUUUUACAGGCUCUUUGUAAGCUAUUCAUGGUUACAUAUUACAUAGUAUAUACAAGAUAGCUUCUUCUGAUGGCGAAUUUGCAUAAUUUAUUAGUAUCACCUAAUACAUUGUUACACAUGCCUAGUAUUAGAAUGGUGUAACCUCAUAAAUACAUUAUGAAGGCACUUGGUGCAAACCCAUCUUUGUUACUAACACUGCAAAACAUGUUUAACAAAUAAAUGUGGUGGAAGCUGCAUUGAUUUAUUAUCCCGUAGAUGGAAAAUACAUGUCCUUUUCUACCUCAAAAGCAAACCAUUACCAAUGCUAUCCUAAUUCUGUUUCCGUUGCACCGGUUAAUAAAGCCCUCAAUUAUGCAAGUGUCUCAGAAACUCUGACUCCCUUCUUAUUAAAUACCUUCAGUAGCAAGAAACUGUAAUCCAGGCAAUGCCUCCUUUACACAGCAAGGUUGAGUGCAGACUUGCUAUUAUUUUAGCUAGCAGUUAUCUGCAGAAUAAAAUUUAAUGAGCACACAGGGGUCACUUUGCUGAGCAGGGAAGGCAAGGCACUUGCUUUAACUGCAGUCACAGUCUCCUGCCUCAGAGUCUGCUCAGGUUCUUGGAGUUACUUAGUGCACCAAAAAGUUAAAUGGAUGGGCAUUUCAUGCUGAGUCACAUUCCCAGGUUUGGAUCUGUUGCCAAAGAUCACAGUCCAACAUGGGCCAUGGAUUUUUUAUUUGUUUCCUAUUGUUAACACAUUAUAUUUUUUCAGCUCCUUUUAACAGGAUUUGUCAGUAUUUCUCAGGGCAUGAUCAUUAACGUUUCUCCUGGCUGUGUUCUGGCUUCAGCUGUGUUUGGUCUUGCCAGACACGGUGAUGACAGCAUCUGUCAUGUCUCUGUGCGGGUGACUUUGGUACAACUAAUACCUGUCACACUCCUACAGACAGGGGUGCAGAGUCUUUCCUCGCUCUUUGGCUUUAAUAGAGAAUUGUGCUUACAUCUUCUUCCUGCAUUGCUAAACACAAUCAGUUUAUUGACUUGCAUUAGAAAUGUACCAUCAUCUCUUAAUAUAUACUGGAUUUUACCUGUGUAUUGUAUGUUACCUUAAAUCUGUAUGUACAGAUUGCAUGUUACAUACAAUAUUUUUACAAUGUAAUAAUGUUACAAUAUAAUUGUAUGUACAGUUUAGGCAUUUGGAUCACAUUAUAUCUUCUGCAUGUCAUAAACUGUAAAAUAUUCUCUCCUGAUCUCAACUGCCUGUCUCUGAUAUCUUUGAUAAAUCUGCUUUAUGCUGAGCAGAGCAUAUAAAAUACUGUAUUUCUCUUUGCAGGAUCUUCCAUGGCUUUAUUAUUCUCACAGUGAUGAUAUGAUUCUUACUUCAUCAUGAUAUAUACAUGUAAUUGUCACUUUCUUUUACCUGAAUUACAGUUGAAAGCGAUUGAGCAGACCCUACAAAUAGCUUUUCCAGACUAGUAUGUACUAUUAAAAAUUUGAUGUUGGGAGACUUCGUGUCUAUGUCAUUAAAAAAAAUAAAUCAGUAUUACAUUGUAUUGUUUUUAAGGCCUCUGCUCGAAUUAAAUUUUCAUCCAAGGAAUCUUCAUCAUUUUGUAAUCUCUCAAAAAUCAGUGCAGUUAACUCCUUGAAGCACUUUGGGGACAGAAGGGAUGUCAAAUAGUGUUCAUUUAAAUGUAUAACAUCUAAAUAAAUUGCUGUCUUAGAGCCUGAAUAAUCUAACUUUGGAUGGCAAACCCCACAGGUGCUGCAUUUCAGAUUGAGAGUGUCUUUCUGAGAGUGAAGCUAUCUUUGAAAGCUUUUUGCUGCGAAUGUGCAUGUUUUAUAGCUUUCUUUAAAUCUCAUGCCUCAGUGGGUACCCCUGAGCUAGCUGGCUUUUCAGUUACAAAUAACACAGCAUACAGAUCAGUUUUAAGUUCUAAGUAACUUCCAUAUAUGAACAUUAUCAAUUGACUUUCUGCUUGCUUUCUUAUGGCAUUGAAAAAUGGGAUUUUUCACUGUUUGAAUAUGUUGAUAGCUGGUUCAUCUUGGAGUGACUAUUCUUCUCAUUAUUAUUCUAGGCUUUGGAAGAUUUCUGAGAUUAUUGGACAUUUGGCUUGUUCCACUGCAUAAUUCUAUACUACAUGUUAACAGAGACAUUACUGAUAUUCAUUUGCUGUCUCUGGCAGUUCGUAAUAGCUGUUUGCUCUUAAUUUAUGUUACAGCUUCUGGAUUCAGGGGGUUACGUGGGAGUCUCCGUCUGAAGGAAUAUUGUGAAGAAUGUUAGAAAACAGAAGCUGAGGGCAGCAUUAGAAGUAAAAUACAACAAUCACAAGCAUUUAUUUAGCUUAGGGCUUUUUUAAAAAACAAGUCAUGAUUUUGGGAAAUACAAUCCUGAUGUUCGAACACUUGGUGUUGUCUACGCUGACAUGUAUAUCUGUAUUUUGUCUUCCAAAAUGAACCAGACUGUUUUAUAACAAACGGAUUUUCACCUCUGCAUGUUCCUUCACAUGUGGAUUAUGGAAUGUGCUUUGCUUUAGACAGCUAGUUUGUCUAGUUUCACCAUAUCCCAUAUUCAGUGUUUUCUCUUGAACGGCUGUAUUCUAAGUUGCUGUCAUGAAUAUUUAGCUGUGUUUGCCAACUUGAAGCAAGUUGCGCUGUGGUCAGUGUUCCAACAAAGAACCAUGGAUCACUGUCUGUCCUGUACCACAAGUACAUAGGAACCUUUGUCCUUUAACUGCGUGACAUACCUUUGAAAACAAUUUGGUUUUCUGGCCUACUGAAUUUGAACAAAGGCUGGACAAUGCUUUGAUUCAUACACUUGCAGGGGUGAGUGUCUAGUUACUUUAUACUGACAGAAAGUCUUUUAUUCUGAUCUUUUUUUCAAUCCAGUGCAGAUACCUUACCUGUACGAGGUCACCGAAAAGCUGGCUCUGCCUUGCACAGCUUCUGCAGAUAAUGUUGACACAGGUGGUGGGGAGCGAUGGCAGCACCCAGCAGAGAGGAGGAGGUGAUAUCUGGGAUCCCCUCUGUGGGUGCAGCUGAUGGACAGGUUGCAGCCCACAUCUGGAAUGUGAUAGUUGUCAAAAGGGAGAGUGACCAUGGCACCAUCAUGUCAUAAAUGUGCAAGGGUGUGGGAAAAGCUGAGCACUGUCUCCUGGAAGCAGCAAACGUAAACCCACAACGGCAACAGAUGCUGGACCUGAUGCCCUACCUGGGAGCCUGUUUUGUGUCUGGCUGCUUCUCCUGCUUGCUGUGUGCCUGGGGAUGAGGUCAGCUAAUCUGGGCACACAGUGGACCCAGCUCCGAGGGGGGUUCUCACUUGUGGCUGGCAUGGCAGAGUACGUCCCGCAGCCUCCCUCCACGUGGUCUGCAGGCCCACAGCCCCCUCAUGCCUCUGCCGUCUGCCCACUGGAGCCCAUGGAUCUGGGGGUCUUGGAGCAGCAAACGCCACCGAUGCAGCCACCAUCCUCCCCGGAUCUGGGCGAGGAUGAGGAAGUCACCUCCCCACCGGACCCUGAUGUUCCCUACCCUGACUUAGCCCCAGUUGUCUUCUUCUGCUUGAAGCAGACCACCAGCCCACGGAACUGGUGCAUCAAAAUGGUGUGCAACCCAUAUCCUUUCAGAGCUGCCCCAUCUUUUGCUCCCUUCUGCCCAUCCCUCUCUCUCUCUGCCCUCUUGGGCCACCUGGCAGGUAAGGAAUGCCAUUUCCUACAUGUUUAAUGACCUGCUUUGUUCCUUGCUUGUGUUUGAACAGAACCUCAGCUGUUUUAGUGUGCGAUCAAAAGAAGCUGAUUAUGAAAGAAGGGACUUCAGAGAGAGCUGCUGACAGCCCCAGUCACAGGGGG